UACGUAGGUGGCAAGCGUUGUCCGGAUUUACUGGGCGUAAAGCGCGCGCAGGUGGUUCCCUAAGCCCGGCGUGAAAGCCCCCGGCUCAACCGGGGAGGGUCGUCGGGGACUGGUGAACUUGAGGGCGGCAGGGGCUGGUGGAAUCCCCGGUGUAGUGGUGAAAUGCGUAGAGAUCGGGGGGAACACCCGUGGCGAAGGCGGCCAGCUGGGCCGACCCUGACACUGAGGCGCGAAGGCGUGGGGAGCGAACGGG
rnacentral:rRNA from 1 species